GAAUACAUGCAAGUCGAACGCACUUCGGGUGAGUGGCGGACGGGUGAGUAACGCGUGGGAACGUGCCUUUGGUUCGGAACAACACAGGGAAACUUGUGCUAAUACCGAAUGUGCCCCCUCCUUUGACUAGGAGGGUGGGAAAGAUUUAUCGCCAUUGGAGCGGCCCGCGUUGGAUUAGGUAGUUGGUGGGGUAAAGGCCUACCAAGCCUACGAUCCAUAGCUGGUCUGAGAGGAUGAUCAGCCACACUGGGACUGAGACACGGCCCAGACUCCUACGGGAGGCAGCAGUAGGGAAUCUUGCGCAAUGGGCGAAAGCCUGACGCAGCCAUGCCGCGUGAAUGAUGAAGGUCUUAGGAUUGUAAAAUUCUUUCACCGGGGAAGAUAAUGACGGUACCCGGAGAAGAAGCCCCGGCUAACUUCGUGCCAGCAGCCGCGGUAAUACGAAGGGGGCUAGCGUUGCUCGGAAUUACUGGGCGUAAAGGGCGCGUAGGCGGACAGUUUAGUCAGAGGUGAAAGCCCAGGGCUCAACCUUGGAACUGCCUUUGAUACUGACUGUCUUGAGUUCGGGAGAGGUGAGUGGAAUGCCGAGUGUAGAGGUGA
rnacentral:rRNA from 1 species